AAUGUUUCUCCAUUGGUCUAUAUCUUCAGCUGCUCUAAGAGCUUCGCAGAAUGAGUUUCCAGCUGAAUUCUUUAUUUGGUCGGACCAUCUAGUUGGUGAUCGUCCUCUUGAUCUUCUCCCCGGAACGUUUCCAGAAACAAAUUAACCUCUCCAAACCUCUGCGAACCACGUGACCAAAGAAUUGCAGUAUUCGUUGCAGAUAUGUUGUGGACAGCCUUUUUUAAAUCUUGAGUUGAUUUAGAAUGGAAACGUUUGUCCUAUGAGCUGUCCAAGGUAUGCGCAGCAUUCUUCUCCAGCACCACAUCUCAAAGGCAUCAAUUUUUUGGCGCUCGCAUGCGCGAAGAGUCCAAGUCUCUGCUCCGUAUAGAAAUAUUGAGAAUACAAGGGCAUUCACCAGUCUCAUCUUGAUAUUUUGAGAGAUAGAUCUGUCUCUGUCUGUCCAAACUUUAGUUAGGCGACUCAUCGCAUUUUUUGCCAUACCAAUACGUCUCCGAACUUCUGCUUCACAGUUACCAUCGUUAAGUCCACUUUACAUCAACAAUAAAUUGGACAAGAAAUUGACCAAGUUAUUCAAGGCCAAAUUUGACGUGUAAAAGCACACUUUGACAUCUAAGUUUGUUCGUUAUAAACUUCACGUGAAGAAAUUGACGAAAAAGAAAAUUGUUCUAUUUUUUCAUUUAUUUGGCGUGAAUUCAGUGUCACCAACCUGUGUCCAUUUGGCGGGAAGUGGAAGUAGAGCUGUAGAGCUUUUUGUUUAUUAUUAUUUGUUGAGGUUGAGUCUUUCAUGUUCAUGACAACCUAAAAAUUUUGAUUGGAAAAUGCAUAUAAGAUGAGGGGGUGGGAAAAUGGAAAUUAGUGGCUUUUUUGCAGUUCUGUCUGUUAGUUUUGCUCUGGCUGGGUCUCUUUUGUUUAAACAAUUAUAAUCAGCUGAAAGUGGUCUACAAAAAAACCAGGAAGGAAACGUAUUAUAGCCUUGUUGUGGCUAUGAAAGGCAAAAGAAAGAUACCUAUAAAAAGUGUAUUGACUAGUUGGAAGAAACUCCACAUUGUCGAUGCAUAAUAAGAUAUUACUUUAUAAACAAAUAUCAAGACCUAGGAAUGGAACCUGGAUAAUAUAGUCAUCAAGAAGAUAGCAGGAGGUCAUGAGCAACAACAACUUCAUAAGUAUGAGAAUAUUGAGGAAAUCCAGCUCCUCGAUAUCUACUACUGGACAAACUAGAAGAUUGAAGAGGACAAAGCCUUUUGAACUAGUUUGAGUGAUAGGUGAUAGUGAAAAGCAGAGCGUAGUGCUUGUGUGCCUGUGUAUGUUAGAAUAGUGCACGAUCUUGUUAGAUUAGAUAAGAGACGCUAUAGGGUAAGCUCUUCAUUUUAAGGAACAGUAGUAAUUUAGGUUAAAUUAAAAUUGCUCAUUGGUCAGUUAUGACCAGAUUGUAAUUCUCUGAUGUUUGGCAAAAAGGGCUGAAGUCAGAAUUGCACAUCAAUAAUGUUUUGAUGAUUUCUGGACCAUAAAAAAAGUGUUGCAGACUUAAACUGUAUGUACCAAUAAAAAGAGCCGAUUUUUCUGGUCCAGAAAUCAUCAAAACAUUAUCGAUGUGCAAUUCUGACUUAAGCCCUUUUUCCCAAACAUCAGAGAAUUGCAAUGUACAAUUCAAUACAAAUGAAUCAUCAUCGUAGUGAUGAUUAUGGAAAAAAAAAUAUAUAUAUAGAAAUAUAUAUAUUUUGUGCAAUAAAAAUGUUUAUAUUUAUCAAGGAUGUAUUAUUUGGUAUGGCCACAUAUACUUCUGGUAUAUCGUCGGUGAUGUGACAAUACCUCCUAUCUGCUUUUUCAUGAAUUUUGUAGGAGACGAAAAACCAUUUUUAGGGUCAUCUGUUUUCACAUGUAAAUUUUGACAUGUUUUGUAGUAAAUAGAUAAUUGAAUUUACUACAAAACAUGUCAAAAAAUAUCAUAUGAAAACAGGAGGUGACUGUAAAAAAAGUUUUUAGUCUCUCUUACAAAAUGGUUAACAGUUAAUAGAGAGACAGAUAAUCGAGGUUCCACUGUAUAGUGAAAUUUGGACACCCGACACCCCAUACAAAUUUUAUGGGGGUUUUGUUCGUUUAAACCCCCCCCCCCAAACUUUUGUGUAAGUUACAAUUGAAUUAUUAUUGUGGUACUAUUAAACACAAUGUUUUUAAAACUUUUUUGCCUCUUAGUACUUUUUUGAAGUCAGUUUUUAUCGUGAUAUUUUGAAUAUUUGUCAAAUCCACCACAUAUUUGUAUAUGGUUAAGUACGAUUGUAGAGACUAAUAAUAUGAAAAUUUAUUUAUGAUUUACAUUUUUAGGUAUAUUUUGAACCAUUUUAAAAAGAAGCCAUAUCUUGAUAAAAAGAGCUUUAUCGAAAAAAUAGAAAGAGGUAAAAAAGUUUUAAAAACACAGUGUUUAACUAAUGGUACCGCAGAAAUAAUUUAAUUGGAACGUACCCAAAAGUUUGGGGGGGUUAAAGGGAACAAAACCCCCAUAAAAUUUUUAUGGGGUGCACAAAUUUCACUAUAAUUUUUCUUUAAGAUGUUACUGCAAUAAUAUUGCUUCAUGUCCAUUUUCAAUAAAAAAUCUUUAAUAGUUUUCGAUAUAUUCGAAAAAAUCGAAUUUUCAUUUUGUAUCUUCAAAGGGCUGUAACUUUUUUUGUGUGCAUAUUUGUACUAAGGUAAGUUAGGUUCAUUCAAAUUAUUUUUGGUCCCAGAAUAUGUGAUUUAAUUUACGACCAAUCUUUUCGGGACACCCUGUAUAAUAAAUGGGAUUAGCUGGCUUAAAAAUUCAUAAUCUACGUUCUGUAGAAAAUAUACAGUUUUUGGUUUCUUUUUAACUAGAUCUUAAUAUCUAACCAAGCAUUUUAAGACCUUUUUAUUAUUUUUUCGAUGAUAUAUUCAUGUUUUUAGUUUGUUCAAAAUAUUCUAGAUGAUUGUACACUAUAAUAGAUAGCCAACUAAAUAAACACAAAAAUUUUAUUUUUGUUACAGCCUGUAUAUAAGUUUACCUAUAUAUACAGUGCAUUGCGCACCACCUUAAAAAUUGGGCAUUUUUGAUGUCUCGAAUUUCCUAAACCUGUUGUCCCAUCUAAGUGAUUUUUUUAUAAUAAUAUAGCCUGAGGCUAUAGGUUACUGCCUUAUGCUUGUCAUGCACGGGGAGCUAUACUGUAAUAUAUAUUAUAUCACGUCGCUCUCUAUAGUAAUGAGUGAGCCUGCACAUACGGAACCAUUAGUUCCCUGUCUGCAGGCUCACUCAUUACUAUAGAGAGCGAUAUGAUCUAAUAUACAUAUAUUACAGUAUAGCUACCAGUGCAUGACAAGCUUAAGGAUGUAACCUAUAGCCUAGGCUAUAUUAUAAAAAAAUCACUCAGAUGGGACAACAGGUUUAGAAAAUUCGAGACAUCAAAAAUGCCCUAUUUUUAAGGUGGUGCAUUAAUUUCUUGGAGAAGUGUAUUGUAAUUUAAUGUAAAUAAUGUAAUAUCCAAUAAUUGUAAUUUAAUAUAAGAUGUAAUAUAAGUUCCUUAAAAA